rnacentral:rRNA from 1 species
AGGGAAUCUUCCGCAAUGGACGAAAGUCUGACGGAGCAACGCCGCGUGAGUGAUGAAGGUUUUCGGAUCGUAAAGCUCUGUUGCCAGGGAAGAACGUCCUGUAGAGUAACUGCUACAGGAGUGACGGUACCUGAGAAGAAAGCCCCGGCUAACUACGUGCCAGCAGCCGCGGUAAUACGUAGGGGGCAAGCGUUGUCCGGAAUUAUUGGGCGUAAAGCGCGCGCAGGCGGCUGUUUAAGUCUGGUGUUUAAUCCUGGGGCUCAACCCCGGGUCGCACUGGAAACUGGACAGCUUGAGUGCAGAAGAGGAGAGUGGAAUUCCACGUGUAGCGGUGAAAUGCGUAGAGAUGUGGAGGAACACCAGUGGCGAAGGCGGCUCUCUGGUCUGUAACUGACGCUGAGGCGCGAAAGCGUGGGGAGCAAAC